rnacentral:rRNA from 1 species
CCUACGGGAGGCAGCAGUGAGGAAUAUUGGUCAAUGGCCGGAAGGCUGAACCAGCCAUGCCGCGUGAAGGUCAGUGCCCUAUGGGCGUUAAACUUCUUUUGUGCGGGAGCAAUAAUGGUCACGUGUGGCCAGACGAGAGUACCGUACGAAUAAGCAUCGGCUAACUCCGUGCCAGCAGCCGCGGUAAGACGGGGGAUGCAAGCGUUAUCCGGAUUUAUUGGGGUUAAAGGGUGCGUAGGCUGUGAGGUAAGUCAGCGGUGAAAUGCCCCCGCUCAACGGGGUGAAGUGCCAUUGAUACUGCCUUGCUGGAAUGCGGAUGCCGUGGGAGGAAUGUGUGGUGUAGCGGUGAAAUGCAUAGAUAUCACACAGAACACCGAUUGCGAAGGCAUCUCACGAAUCCGCGAUUGACGCUGAUGCACGAAAGCGUGGGUAUCAAACAGGAUUAGAUACCCGAGUAGUG